UUUGAUCAAUGGCAGAAGCAACUGGGUCUGCCAACAAGCCAAGAAAUGAAAGAGAUUCGUAGCUGAGGUGAAUUUUUCUACUAUUUGUUGUGUGAUUGAAGAAAUAAAUUUGUUGAGGAAAGCCAUGUGGCCUUGAACAUGCUUUGUAGGUUUCAAGAAAAUAUGGAUACAUAUCAUAACUUAAUUACACAGUUCAUGCAUGAUAAACAAUUGGAUAGUGGAAAAG